UACGGAGGGUGCGAGCGUUGUUCGGAAUCACUGGGCGUAAAGCGCGUGUAGGCGGCCCACUAAGUCUGAUGUGAAAGCCCGGGGCUCACCCCCGGAAGUGCAUUGGAAACUGGUGGACUCGAGUCCCGGAGAGGAGAGUGGAAUUCCUGGUGUAGCGGUGAAAUGCGCAGAUAUCAGGAGGAACACCGGUGGCGAAGGCGGGUCUCUGGGCAGUAACUGACGCUGAGGAGCGAAAGCGUGGGGAGCGAACAGG
rnacentral:rRNA from 1 species